rnacentral:rRNA from 1 species
UAGCAUAUGCUUAUCUUGGAGAUUAAGCCAUGCAUGUCUAAGUAUAAGUUAUAUACGGCGAAACUGCGAAUGGCUCAUUAAAACAGUUAUAGUAUAUUUGAUAAUGUUUUUAUAUGGAUAACCGUUGGGAAACCAGAGCUAAUACAUGCAUAAAGACCUUUUGGUUGUAUUUAUUAGCUAUAAACCAUUACCUUCGGGUUUUGUGAGGAAUCAUAAUAACUGAUCGAAGCGCAUUUGUAUGUGCUAAAUCUUUCUAGUUUCUGCUCUAUCAGCUUUGAUGGUAGUGUAUUGGACUACCAUGGCUUUCACGGGUAACGGAGAAUUAGGGUUCGAUUCCGGAGAGGGAGCCUGAGAAACGGCUACCACAUCCACGGUAGGCAGCAGGCGCGUAAAUUACCCAAUCCUGAUUUAGGGAGGUAGUUACAAGAAAUAUAGAAUUCGCAAUUGCGAUUAUCUAACUGGGUUGAAUGUAAACCGUUCUUCGAAUGCGAUUGGAGGGCAAGUCUGGUGCCAGCAGCCGCGGUAAUUCCAGCUCCAAUAGUGUAUCUUAAUGUUGUUGCAGUUAAAAAGCUCGUAGUUGAAUUUCUGGCAAUACAGCUGAUCUUUUCGAGAAGCACGUAUAUGUCAUCCGCAUUGGAAGCACAUUCGAUAGCAAUAUCAGUGUGUGGAAGGUGCAUUUUACUUUGAAGAAAUUAGAGUGUUCCAGGCAGGCUAUGCUUGAAUAUUACAGCAUGGAAUAAUGGAAUAGGACAAGUUCAUUUUAUUGGUUAUUGAAUUUGUAAUGAUUAACAGGGACAGUUGGGGGCAUUCGUAUUGGGUAGUCAGAGGUGAAAUUCUUAGAUUUACUCAAGACGCACUAAUGCGAAAGCAUUUGCCAAGGAUGUUUUCAUUAAUCAAGAACGAAAGUUAGGGGAUCAAAGACGAUUAGAUACCGUCGUAGUCCUAACUAUAAACUAUACCAACUAGGGAUUGGUAGGGGAUGACCCCUAUCAGCACCUAAUGAGAAAUCAAAGUCUUUGGGUUCUGGGGGGAGUAUGGUCGCAAGGCUGAAACUUAAAGGAAUUGACGGAAGGGCACCACCAGGAGUGGAGCCUGCGGCUUAAUUUGACUCAACGCGGGGAAACUUACCAGGGCCAGACUCGAGAAUGAUUGACAAUUUGAUAGCUUUUUCUUGAUUACGAGGAAGGUGGUGCAUGGCCGUUCUUAGUUGGUGGAGUGAUUUGUCCGGUUAAUUCCCUUAACAAACGAGACCUUAACCUGCUAAAUAGAUGUGCUUUUUCAAGGCAUUAUCUUCUUAGAGGGACUAUGUACCUAAAUGCAUGGAAGUUUGAGGCAAUAACAGGUCCGUGAUGCCCUUAGAUGUCCUGGGCCGCACGUGUGCUACACUGACUCACGCAACGAGUUUUUACCUAACCCGAAAGGGGACGGGAAAUCUUGUCAAUAUGAGUCGUGCUAGGGAUUGAUCUUUGCAAUUAUGGAUCAUGAACGAGGAAUUCCUAGUAAGCAUAAGUCAUCAUCUUGUGCUGAUUACGUCCCUGCCCUUUGUACACACCGCCCGUCGCUCCUACCGAUUGAGUGGUCCGGUGAACUUUCUGGAUAUUUGGAUUUUCUAAAAUAGAAGUUAAGUAAACCUUAUCACUUAGAGGAAGGAAAAGUCGUAACAAGGUUUCCGUAG